UACGUAGGGGGCAAGCGUUGUCCGGAUUCCUUGGGCGUAAAGAGCGUGUAGGCGGCCAGGUAGGUCGGUUGUGAAAACUGGAGGCUCAACCUUCAGAGGUCGACCGAAACCAUCUGGCUAGAGUCCGGGAGAGGAGAGUGGAAUUCCUGGUGUAGCGGUGAAAUGCGUAGAGAUCGGGAGGAACACCGGCGGCGAAGGCGGCUGCCUGGACCAGUCCUGACGCUGAGGCGCGAAAGCUAGGGGAGCAAACAGG
rnacentral:rRNA from 1 species